GAGAUUCUGGUGAGUUAGAGUUCCUGGGAGUCACGCUGCCUCUGAGACCCUGAAAUCCUGGUGUGAUCAAGCUCCUGGGAUCCUGUAAUUCUGGCAUAUUAAGAUAAUGUGCAUGUUCAAGCCCCUGGGAUUGGAGACUCCUCAUGUCUGAGGUUUUUGAGACUAUCUGCAGAGAUUGUGCCAAAGGUAGAAUGUCACCAAACAGAAGGAACCUGAGUCAUUGGUUGGGUGGGGUUCCUGAGUUUCUGGAAACUGCAGGUCUCAGUUACUCCCAGUGGUUUUGGAGCAGAUGUGAUCUUCUCACCGGUGCUCCUAAGAUCCUGGGCAUGUUAGAGUUCCCAGGAGUGGAGACUCCUCUCAUCUAGGGACUAUGGGACUGCCUGCAAAGAUUGUACCCAUGUUCUACUUAUCAAUUCUUGUCUUAGAGAGUGAGCAUUUAGUGUUCUGUUCAUGAAAUUGCCCAUUGUGCCAAUGAGUGGAAAGGUCUUUCCCUCUCUCUCUUCUAGUAGAUUCAGUAUAUCUGACUUUAUGUUGAAGACCUUGAUCCACUUGUACUUCAGCUUUGUGCAAGGUGACAAAUAUGGGUCUAUUUUCAUUAUUCUACAUACAUCUAGCCAGUCAGACUAGCACAAUUUAUGGAAGAUGCUUUCUUUUAUCCACUGCAUUCUUUGGAUUUUUGUCAAAGUUCCAGUGUCCAUAAGGGUGUGGCAUUAUUUCUGUGCUUUCAAUUCUAUUCAACUGAUCAAAAUGUCUGUCUCUGUGCCAAUAAUAUGCAGUUUUAAUGAUGAUUUCUCUGUAGUAAUGUUUUAGGUCAUAGUUAAUGAUUCCCCCAGAAGGUUUUAUAAAUUUGAAAAUUGUUUUUUUAUAUCUUUGAAGAAUUGUGUUGGGAUUUGAUGGGGAUUGUAUGGAACAAGAGAAGGCCUUUCAACAGUUCCAGGCUGCUGUGCAGGCUGCUCUACCACUUGGACCAUAUGACCCAGAAGACCCGAUAGUACUUGAGCUGUCUGUGGCUGAUAGAGAUGCUGUUUGGAAACUCUGGUAAGCCCCUGUAGGUGAAUCACAGAAAAGACCUUUGGGAUUUUGGAGCAAAGCUCUACCAUCAUCUGCAGAAAACUAUUCUGCCUUUGAAAAGCAGUUCUUGGCCUGCUAUUGGGCCUUAGUGGAAACUGAACGUUUGACAAUAGGACACCAAGUUACUAUGCAACCCAUCAUGAGCUGAGUACUAUCAGAUCCUGCAAGUCAUAAAGUGGGACACGCACAGCAGCAGUCUAUUAUCAAAUGGAAGUGAUAUAUACGUGAUCAGGCCAGAGCAGGUCCUGAAGACACAGGCAAGUUACAUGAAGAAGUUGCUCAAAUGCCUAUGGUUUCUAUUCCUGUUAUAAUGCCAUCUUCUGCCAAGCAUGUGCCUAUAGCCUCAUGGGGUGUUCCCUAUGA
rnacentral:lncRNA from 1 species